UAAUCGGGACAAAACCUCCACGAGCGCCACUUACUGCUCACGCGAGGUAUUUUUUUCUGCGCGCGCGCGUAGACACUGUCGCGCGCGCGAGUUUGCUCUGCGCGCGCGCGCAAACGCUGCCACGCGCGCGCAAACACCGUCUCACGCGCGAGAGGUGACAUGAAUUUCCUCACGCGCGCGAGCAGAAAUAUGAAUAUUUAAAUUAUCUCCUCCCACUGGUUAGCAUAACAAAUGAAGCGGAAGUUUGUUUAGUCCAUAAUAGUCAAACACAGAGAGCUCAGAUCUCAAUUGUUGAUAGACUAUCGUUGCUACGGUGACUGCAACCGACCACCUUUGAAACACAACUGAAACGCAACUCACGGCUGCUGCUGACAAGGGCAUUCACAUAUUUAUUCGUAAAACCAUUUUAUUUUUUGGUGGAUGAAAACAUUGUGUCAAUAUGCUAUGUCUAUGUUCGCCUUAUUCACCCGGAACGUUCUAAAGACGUUGAGGGGUACACUUCAGGGGUACAUUCGGCAACGCACCAGCUGUCAUGGCGCCUCACUGUUGUGUGCCCAAAUGUUCGUCCUCAAAGAGAAAAAAAAUCCUACCGUGGACAGACUUUCCACCGUUUCCCCAAAGAGCAGGCACUUCGCCGUGGAUGUAUAAAUCACAUCUAGAGGGGUCCUGGUCCAUAUUUCAAGAUCAACGCUGAGACCAAGGUUUGCUCUGAGCACUUUGAGAAGCAGUGUUUUGUAAAGACCACCCGUGUUAUCACAAAGCUUAUAAAGGAUGCUGUGCCAACUUUCGCCUGGACUUCAGAGAGGCCAAAGAGGAGAAUCAUCAUUCGCAGACCGAGAGAUGAUGACCCAUUCCUGAAGUUGGACGCCAGAAUGCAGGAAGGUGCUGUUUAAGAGCCUAGGCGGUGGAAGAAGCACUUGCAGGUAUGCUACCGACCAGGCUCCUCAACACCAAUCCGAGACGGAAGAUGAAACGGGAUGAAGCAGUUAGAUUGAGGAUAACGUACCUCAACAGUCUUCUUCAGAUUCUCUACAAACACAGUCUGAGUGGUGAUUAGAACAUGCCUGGCAUCCAAGGGUGUGGCCAGUUUGUUAACCCUUAACACUCUACACUUUACAAUUAUAAUUAUUUUACACUGUCUGGACAAGAUGUAGAAUACUACUGAGCGACAGUGAUAUGUCAUGUUCUUAAUACUGUUAUAUCCUGUCAUUACAGACAAGGCGGCCGGAAACUUUGAUGACCUCAAUGACACUGGCUAGGUGAAGGACAUCAACAAAAUGGCAUCAGGUCACCAGACAUCAGCUCAUAAUCCACAACAUCAUCAACCAUUUUGCGCCAAAAAUGAAGCCGUUCACAUACCAUGGCAUCCUAAGCAGGCAGCACUACACUACUAUGCAACAGUGAGAGAGAGCGGGCAAGGACAAGUAAAGCGGACCUACACUACAGCAAGACUUUGACACUUCUCCACGUUCGAGGCAGCCAUCACCCCCACCGUUGAGCAGCGGCUAUGUGUAACCCCCAAAAGAGGAGAUGAUCCGACGAUGUGUGCGUGUGUGUGUGUGAUGUAUGAUAUUGUAACACU